UACGUAGGGGGCUAGCGUUGUUCGGAAUUAUUGGGCGUAAAGGGCUCGUAGGUGGCCAACUAAGUCAGACGUGAAAUCCCUCAGCUUAACUGGGGAACUGCGUCUGAUACUGGAUGGCUUGAGUUUGGGAGAGGGACGCGGAAUUCCAGGUGUAGCGGUGAAAUGCGUAGAUAUCUGGAGGAACACCGGUGGCGAAGGCGGCGUCCUGGACCAACACUGACACUGAUGAGCGAAAGCCAGGGGAGCAAACGGG
rnacentral:rRNA from 1 species